AGAAAAUGACAAGAUUUCAAGUCGUUGGAAAUUCAUUUUCGCAAAGUUUCAAAAUCAUUGCUCUUAGAUAUCUGCGAUUAUAGAACACUACAGCCCGGUGCAGUGUCAGAUCACCUUUGCUGGACCGACAGCAGUGACUACGGGGAGGAGAGUAAAAUUUCGGAUUGUAUCGACACAAGAAGAGACUGAAAAAAAAAAACACAACAAUAAUAAUUGUUGACUGGCAUUGGCUUUGGUUUUUCAACAAAAAAAAAAAAAGACACAGAGAAAAUGAGUAAAGCUGAGGGUGCAGCAACACAACAAUAAUAAUGACUCCGAAUCCAAUAUGGACCCUCCC
rnacentral:lncRNA from 1 species